ACAAGAAGGAAGCAGAAGUAUAGCAGAGUCAAUGCAAUGAUGAAGUUGGAACUUGUGAAAUCAUUUCAAAUCAUGUAUCUGCAUGCACCCUCUUAAUUUCCUUCCUCAUUGUCCACAUGUAAGUGAUUGGUUGGCAGUGAGUAUAUAAAGACCAGUGUGCUUCACAGCUGAAUCAAACUCUUCAUCAGUCAUGGACAAAAGUGUGCUGCUGGUGCUGUUGUGUCUGCAGGUUUUCCUGCUCAUCACAGCCUUCACUUCCUUCUGAUGCAGCCGCUCUACAGAAAGAGGAUCAACAACAACCGUUUCCUGACCGGGUGGAGGUGGGAGGAACUGAGGCCAAAGGAAGAAAACCAUGGCCACCCGGCUGCUGGUUAAGACCAGGUUGUUCUUCACCCUUCGGAAAGUUCCCAGUUACACCAAACCCUCCACUGACGGCUUUGGACAUAAAGACUGACUUUUCUCCUUUUUCUUCUACAUCCGUGAUAAGAAGAAAACCAAAGAAGCCGCACUGCAGAAAUUAAGACAGACAUGAAAACCUGCAUCUUCUCUUCAAGGAAGCUGUUCUAUUUUGCUUUGCUAAUUGCAUUUUUUGGUGACAAAAGUCAAUCAUUGCAUGAGCUCAGCAUUGUGAAAGCCACAAUGCUUUGUUUUGUUUACUCAUUAUGAAUAUAAAUUUACUAUAUUACUGUUUAAUUUCAGUUUAUUAUUUUGCUGUUAAAUGUUGUUAAAUGAAAAAAAUAAAAUUUCUCAAUUUUAUGCUUAGACUCAUUGUGUUUUUA
rnacentral:lncRNA from 1 species